GACGAACGCUGGCGGCGUGCCUAAUACAUGCAAGUCGAGCGAAGUUUUUCUGGUGCUUGCACCGGAAAAACUUAGCGGCGAACGGGUGAGUAACACGUAAAGAACCUGCCUCAUAGACUGGGACAACUAUUGGAAACGAUAGCUAAUACCGGAUAACAGCAUUAACUGCAUGGUUGAUGUUUAAAAGUUGGUUUUGCUAACACUAUGAGAUGGCUUUGCGGUGCAUUAGCUAGUUGGUGGGGUAAAGGCCUACCAAGGCGACGAUGCAUAGCCGACCUGAGAGGGUGAUCGGCCACACUGGGACUGAGACACGGCCCAGACUCCUACGGGAGGCAGCAGUAGGGAAUCUUCCGCAAUGGGCGAAAGCCUGACGGAGCAACGCCGCGUGAGUGAGGAAGGAUUUCAGUUCGUAAAGCUCUGUUGUUAGGGAAGAAUGAUUGUGUAGUAACUAUACACAGAGAGACGGACCUAACCAAAAGCCACG
rnacentral:rRNA from 1 species